GGGCGACUAGCUCAGCUGGUAGAGCAACAGACUCUUAAUCUGUGGGUCCGGGGUUCGAUCCCCCGGUCGCUCAUCA
rnacentral:tRNA from 1 species